GACGAACGCUGGCGGCGUGCCUAAUACAUGCACGUAGACCGCAGUUGCGAACGGGUGAGUAACGCGUAGGUAACUGCCUCAUAGCGGGGGAUAACUAUUGGAAACGAUAGCUAAUACCGCAUACUGUGAGAUGGACCUGCGUUGUAUUAGCUAGUUGGUGAGGUAAAGGCUCACAAAGGCGACGAUACAUAGCCGACCUGAGAGGGUGAGCGGCCACAAUGGCACUGAGACACGGCCAAGACUCCGACGGGAGGCAGCAGGAGGGAAGCGUAGGAAAGGGACGGAAGUUGGACCGGGCAAAGCCGCGUGAGUGAAGAAGGUGUUCGGAUCGUAAAGAGCUGGUGAUAGAGAGGCGGUAACGAACCAGAUAGGGACGGCGAACUACGUGCCAGCAGCCGCGGUAAUAC
rnacentral:rRNA from 1 species